rnacentral:rRNA from 1 species
GACGAACGCUGGCGGCGUGCCUAAUACAUGCAAGUCGAGCGAAGUUUUUCUGGUGCUUGCACUAGAAAAACUUAGCGGCGAACGGGUGAGUAACACGUAAAGAACCUGCCUCAUAGACUGGGACAACUAUUGGAAACGAUAGCUAAUACCGGAUAACAGUAUUUCUCGCAUGAGAGAUAUUUAAAAGUUGGUUAUGCUAACACUAUGAGAUGGCUUUGCGGUGCAUUAGCUAGUUGGUGGGGUAAAGGCCCACCAAGGCGACGAUGCAUAGCCGACCUGAGAGGGUGAUCGGCCACACUGGGACUGACACACGGCCCAGACUCCUACGGGAGGCAGCAGUAGGGAAUCUUCCGCAAUGGGCGAAAGCCUGACGGAGCAACGCCGCGUGAGUGAAGAAGGAUUUCGGUUCGUAAAGCUCUGUUGUUAGGGAAGAAUGGAUAUGUAGUAACUAUACAUGUAAGAGACGGUACCUAACCAGAAAGCCACGGCUAACUACGUG